UUUUUAGUGCUUGCUUGCUUUUUAACAUCAGUCAGCUCGUUCAUCGAGUUUUCUUAACCUUGAAUCCGCAAAACUUGCAUGUGCAGGUUUGUCCUUGCAUUUGCACUCGUAGCCGGUCCAGUUCCAGGUCUUCUGCUCCCAGAAAUAUUUCCCAGCAGAAUCAGGGCCAUGGCCAUGGCAGUUUGCAUGUCAGUGCACUGUGUGGUAAAGUUCUUUGUGGGCUUGCUCUUCCUGCGUUUACUGGAACAGCUCGGACCGCAUCUGCUCUACUCCAUAUUUGCAACCUUCUGCUUGAUGGCAGUGAUAUUUGUGAAACGGAAUGUAACGGAGACCGAAGGGAAGUCGCUUCAGGAGAUUGAGAUUGCCCUUCUUCCACAAGAUUAAAGGCGGAAGCUGUCAUCCUCAUGCCGCCUGAUUUGGUUGAGAUGGAGUUGGAAAAUUUGCUUUCGGAAAGCUCGGCAUUGGAAGCGAGGUCGUAGUUAGAAGGAUAUGUACACUAAUAUGCACGGCCCAGUUAAAGAAGAGAGGUGGAACAGAUGGUUUCAUUUAUCCAUAAGAUAGUUUUCCAAUCUAAUCUGGUUCUUGGGCUCGGCAUUAGUCAUACUUGUAGUAGACCAUCAAGUUCGCACCUUGGUGUCAGAUGGUUUCAUUUAUCCAUAAGAUAGUUUUCCAAUCUAAUCUGGUUCUUGGGCUCGGCAUUAGUCAUACUUGUAGUAGACCAUCAAGUUCGCACCUUGGUGUCUUUUCCUGUGUAUUUAUCAGGGGAUCAAUUGUCGGCAAGUCCUGUCGAGUCACAGAUUCGCUGAUUAAGUAUAGCUGAAAAUUCAUGGCGUUCUCAUCAUAAGUAGUUCAUAGUUCUUGGUUUGCUCUUUAUGUGCUUUGCCAAGAUGUACGUUGGCACUAGGAAAAAUGUUCUGCAAGUCCAAACCUCGAUGCUUUCCUUUGUUAGUAACAAAUUCAGAAUAGCCUACGAAUGAGAUUUUUUA